GCCCUUUGCAAAGGGGGCUUUCUUGUCCCUUUUCUUGCCCUGUUCUUUCUCUCUUUUUCUCUCUGACCUCUUUUUUUUUUGUUUUUUUUUUGUUUUUUUUUACCUACACUGGUAUUGAAUGCUUUUUUAGUCACUUCUUUUUACCAUGUGCUUACUAAAUAGGCUCUGUCUUUGUAAAUUUCCUUUUUUAGCUGCCUGUGUUUUUCUUAGCCACCUUGAUAGUUUUUACCAUGUGCUUACUAAACAGGCUUUGCCCUAGUACAUUUUCUUUUUAAACCUAGUUUUUAAUGUUUUUAAAUGCUUUUUUUUCACCUACACUGGUAUUGAAUGUUUUUUUUAUUCACUUUUUUACCAGCUGCUUACUAAACAGGCUUUGCCUUAGUAAAUUCCCUUUUAAAACCUAUUUUUAUUGUUUUUAAUAUUAUUUAAUGUGUUAAAGACUCUUUUCUUAACCUACCCUGAUAGUAAAUAGUUUAAUUGUGUUUUUCUUAGCCACUCUUUAUAGUUUUUACCAGGUGCUUACUAAACAGGCUUUGCCUUAGUAAAUUUCCUUUUUAAACCUAGUUUUCAAUGUUAUUUAACUUUUUUCUUAACCCACCCUGAUAAUUAAUACACCUUUUAUAUUUAUCUCAAAAUUUUCUAUUCUUUAAUAGCAUACCAAACUAAUGGGGCAUGGAAACCUGUCAAAAAUGCAUGGUGAUGAAUACUACUCCUGUGUGUCCUGUAACAGCUUUUUAUAGUCUGUGCUCUGUUUUCCCACCCAGUUUCCUGUGCUGCGUUGGGCUACAGAGAGUAAAGCACCUGUGGAGGCUGAUCCCAAUGGUGGCAUGGUGCUGCUCAAAAAGGAGAAACCAGAAAUGGAGCCAAGAGGCCAGUGGAGUAAUAAAAUGGAGUUUAUGCUCUCCAUGGCUGGAGAGAUCAUCGGCUUGGGCAAUGUCUGGAGAUUCCCUUAUCUCUGUUACAAAAAUGGAGGUGGUGCCUUCUUUAUCCCCUACCUCAUCUUCCUCUUCACCUGUGGGAUCCCAGUGUUCUUCCUGGAGACAGCGCUAGGGCAGUACACCAGCCAGGGAGGGGUCACUGCCUGGCGGAAGCUCUGCCCUCUCUUUGAAGGAAUUGGAUACACCUCACAAGUCAUCGAAUCCUAUCUGAAUAUCUACUACAUCAUCAUCCUGUCCUGGGCUAUCUUCUACCUGUUCAGCUCCUUUACUGCUGUGCUUCCCUGGGCCACCUGUAAUAAUCCUUGGAACUCAGAUCGCUGCGUAGACUUUCUGAAUCACUCUAACAUGGAGAACUGGACAGCGCCUGCUAAUGCCACCUCCCCUGUUACUGAGUUCUGGGAGAAGCGAGUCCUGGGACUCACAGACGGUAUUCACAAUCUGGGCACUGUGCGCUGGGAGCUGGCUCUCUGCCUCCUGUUCGCCUGGGUCAUCUGCUACUUCUGCAUCUGGAAAGGAGUCAAGUCCACAGGCAAAGUUGUUUACUUCACUGCCACGUUUCCCUAUUUGAUGCUUUUUGUUUUGCUAAUUCGAGGGGUCACCCUGCCUGGUGCUGCUGAGGGGAUCAUGUUCUACCUGAAGCCAGACACUUCCAGGCUUACAGACCCACAGGUGUGGAUGGAUGCAGGCACUCAGAUCUUCUUCUCUUAUGCUAUCUGCCAGGGGUGCUUGACAGCUUUGGGCAGCUACAACAAGUACAAUAACAACUGUUACAGGGACUGCUUCAUGCUGUGUUUCCUGAAUAGUGCCACCAGCUUUGUGGCCGGCUUUGCUAUCUUCUCUGUGCUGGGCUUCAUGGCACAAGAACAGGGUGUGCCCAUUUCAGAAGUGGCUGAGUCAGGUCCUGGCCUAGCAUUCAUUGCAUAUCCAAAGGCUGUAACGAUGAUGCCUGUGUCUCAGCUCUGGUCCUGCCUAUUCUUCCUUAUGCUGAUCUUCCUGGGACUGGACAGCCAGUUUGUCUGUGUUGAGAGCGUGGUGACGGCCAUUGUCGACAUGUACCCAAAAGUUCUCCAGAGGAAAGGGCACCGGGAGCUGCUGAUCCUGGCCAUUGCAGGCAUAUGCUACCUGCUUGGGCUGAUGCUAGUCACUGAGGGUGGAAUGUACGUCUUCCAGCUGUUUGAUUAUUAUGCUGCCAGUGGUACAUGCCUACUGUUUGUGGCCAUUUUUGAAGCCAUCUGUGUUGGCUGGGUGUAUGGUGCGGACCGUUUCUAUGACAACAUCGAGGACAUGAUUGGUUAUCGGCCGUGGCCACUGGUUAAGAUGUGCUGGCAGGUUGUCACCCCUGGUGUCUGCCUGGCGACCUUCCUAUUUUCACUGAUCAAGUACACCCCCCUCAAAUACAACAACUGGUACACGUACCCUCUGUGGGGCUACGCUCUGGGCUGGUUGAUGGCUCUUUCUUCCAUAAUCUGCAUUCCACUCUACAUCAUUUUCAUUCUGCUGAAAACCAGAGGAUCACUAAAGAAGAGGCUAAAGGAACUCACUUCCCCAGCGGAGGACUUGCCUCAGCCAAAGAAGCACCGGCCUAGAGUGUCUGAACCAUUGGAGAGCCCCAAAGCAGAAUACAGGAUCUCAUCCCCAUCAGCCAAGGAAGUGCUCAUAAUCACAGAGAAGGAAACCCACAUGUAAAGCAUAUGGGAAAGGAUUUCGCCUUUGCAUUCUGGAGUGAUUUCCCCCUCUUGUUCCUGAGGUGGCUUCUCUUCACACCUGGGACAAUGCACUCUUCAUUUCUCCCCUGCACACCUGAGGCAGAGCCAUCCUAGUCAGUGACUCUGGGACAUCCUUCUUCCUCCCCAAGUUUAUCAGGUAGUUAACUAUACAGACUUGGGACAGCAGUUCUUUUGACACCCCUGAGACAGCUCUCUCCUUCUGCACCUGGGAAAGAGCAGCGUGACUUCACCAGAGGUGCUUUAGAGCCCUGACACUGAAAAAAGGAACAGUAGAUAUAAAAUAAUGGGGAAAGGGAAUUGCAAAGAGUAAAGAGGUUCAGAAGUAAAGUCAGGAAGGUAAAGGCACAAAAUGAGGGGGUGUGAGCAAAAGGAACAAGUUAAAUGGUUUAUAAGUACAUAAAAAGCAGGAGGCUGACAAAGGAAAGUGCACAGGUAGGUCACCUACAUACCAGGGAGAGAGAGCCCAUCACAUACUAAAGAAGCUGCAGUGCUGAGUAGCUCUUUGGUUUCAGCUGUCACUCAAAGGGUGAGUGACAAGAUACUUAACAUAAUCAUAGUUAAUGAGGAAAGAGAGAGACCAGACUCAGGAUGGAACAGGCUGAAGGAUAUCUGGGUAAUUUGUGCUAAUUCAAAUCAAUAUGCGCCAGUGAAAUUCAUCCUAAAGAGCAUGAGGCUAGCAGAGAGCUGGCGAUUCUUUUGGGGAGAGCCUGGAGUGCAGGGGAGGUCCCACAAUACUGGUCAAGAGUAAACAUAGACAUAGGGGCCAAAAGGGGCUCCAGGAAUUACACACGAGAAAGCUUAACUGCAUUGCCUGCAGCUGGCUAGAAGAAUCAACAGAGAUGUCGAUAGGCCUGUUUCCCUGCUACGCUGCACUUUGUGGCAUCAUUUACACCAGGGCAAGUGAUACCACAUCAGAAUGGUGCUUUUUACACCACUUUGCCCUGGUGUAAAUGACUGCACAUAGUGCAAUCAGGCUCAAAACCUGAGCGCCUCCAGGCAAAUACAUGAUAAAUAGUAAGGCAACGAAUAACCAAGAUGAGUUAAUCAGAAAAAAGUAAUGCCAAAGUAUCUUAAUCUUUUUCUUUGACAGGAUAAUGCCCAAAGGAAAUGCAGGGACAGGGCCAUCCUUAGGAUUUAUGGGGUCCUACGCAGUAUUAUUAAACUGGUGCCCCUAUGCCUGACUUGGGGCACAGCCACCACCCCGGCCCACAGACACCCAGAACCACACCCCCUCCCCAUUGCUGAUACACAUCGAGCUUCAUACACAGCAGAUGCUGCAGCAGCCCGGGCUUGCAGCCUUGGGGGGAGGGACGAGGCAGCAAAGGAUAACAAGCGGCCCGGCCUGCCUCUUGGCAACAGAGAGUCACAGUUCCCUGCCCUGUACACUCUUUCUUACACAGAACGCGCCAUGCCGGGGCAUUCGGCUCUGUGAAUACGGCCCCUGCCUAAGGAGACUGCAGCACGUGCUGGGUGUGUGGGAACUGACCUGCUCUUACCUGCUGUCCUGGUGAUGCCCCAAAUUUUUGGGUGUCCUAUGCAGCCACAUAUGCCUCAGGAUGGCCCUGAGGAGACUGGAGGGCCCAUCAGCCAUAUUACCUCAGCUCCAUGGCACGUAUAUUGGUACAUAGACUGUGUGACAUAAUAGCAGCCUAUUGAACUGAAGCACACACUGAACCAGAAAAAGAAGAGGAGCAAAUACUACACGCUGUGGGACUGGUUCUCCGUUGCACUGCACUUUGUGGGUAUGUCUGCACUGCAGCUGGGAGCGAGGCUCACAGCCCAUGGGGAGAGACCUUGUGCUGGUGGGGGUUAAGCUAGUGUGCUAAAAAUAGCAGUGAGGUCAUUGCUGUGCUGGCAGAGACUCAGACUAGCCAGCCCAGCUUGGAUCCUGUUUGAUUCCUGUCCAAGUGUGGCUGGCUAGCCUGAGUCUCUGCCCAUGCAGCAACAUCCACACUGCUAUUUUUAAUGCUCUACCUUGAGUCCCACUAGCGUGAGGUCUGUCUGGGAGGUUCGCUCCCAGCAACAAUGUAGACAUAACCUAUGUGGUCAUUGACACCUGUGCUGAGUGGGCGUAAAACACUAGCACUGAGGAAUGUGAGUGGAAAAUACACGUCUCUUGUGUGCAAUGCAGUAGCAUUUAGAUUGCUGUUGGGGGAUUAGCUUUUGCUCUUCUUGUGAAUGUCACUGUGCAGCUUUAUUGCUGAAUUAGCACAUUUUUGUGUUUAGUUUCCUUUCC